GUGCAAAUCACCAUUCUCUAAAAAUUUGAUAACAUAAUCUUUGUCCUUCCCAACAAAUAAUGAAGAAAUAAGGAGGAACAACCUCCGGUCAUGAUCAUCUAGAGACUUGUAGCUUAUCUCAAGAUUCUUUUGAACUCUGCUAUGAGGGAUUGCUUCCAAUUUCUGCAAUUUACUCCUCCAUAUAUCCGUACCUCUCCCUGAAAGAAAUGAACCCAAAUCAUAAAGAGCUAACGGAAGCCCACAGCAAUGCUGUAUUGCUUCUGUUGAAAGCAUCUUGAACUCUUCUAAUGGGUGGUCUUGUGCAAAAGCAUACCAACUGAAGAGCUUUAGAGACUCGUCAUCUCCAAGUUCCUUUAUCUUGAAUAGCAUGUGCCUCUCAUAGGACUUCAAUAGUUUCUCACACCUUGUCGUAAUGAGAAUUUUACUCCCCGGAUAAAACCAAUCCCUUGUUCCAAUAAGUGAAUCUAAGACAUCCAGCUGAUCCACAUCAUCAAAUACAAUAAAAACCUUUUUGUUGCCAAUAGCAUCUUUCAUUUUGACAAUUCCUUCAUCAGCAUUGUAUAUUUUUUCCUUUCUGCCUUUCAAAAUACUUUCGAAAAUUUGUUUUUGCAAAUAAACCUGACCAUUUGGAUGUUUCUCAGAGAUUUCUCUGACAUUUGCAAGAAAGCAACUCCCAUCAAAUCUAUCAUAAUUAGAGUUGUAAGCUACUUUAGCAACAGUAGUCUUUCCAACGCCACCAAGUCCACAGAUCAUCCCAAUGCCAACUUCACUGGAUUCAUCCUGUAACCAUGAGUUAAUGUCCUUCACUCGAGCCUCUAGUCCAACUGUGUAUGAAGGUACACUAAGUACUGUGCGAUUCAAUCUUUUGAGUAUCUCCUUAAUGAUCUUUUGGAUGAAUUUUGCCUCAUGCCCGUCUACUUCUUUGGCUAAGCACAUUCCUUCCAAUUCAGCAACUUCCUUCAGAGCUAAUCUCCAUUUCUCCAUCUUCUCCAUCCAUUCCUUUCUUUUCUCUCCACUCUCUGCAUUUCCUCUCUUUUCAUGAUUCACAAAAGCUUCAGCAAAACUUCCACUUUGGUUCUGAACAUCCUCAGGGCUGACAGUGUAAAAAACAGGCAAGACAGUAUGACCCUCUUUCUUUCUUCGAUCAAGAAUGUUGACAAGCUCAUCAAGACACCAUCUUGAAGAAGCGUAGUCUUUAGAGAAGACAAUUAGUGAAAUCUUGGAUUCUCGAAUACCCUUUUGCAGUUCAGAUUCUAUGUUUUCUCCCCUGCGGAUUUCGUCAUCAUCUCGAAAAGUUCGAAUUCCAGCGUUGAUGAGAGCUGUGUAGAGAUGAUCAGUAAAGUUUUUCCGGGUGUCUUCGCCUCUAAAACUCAAGAAAACAUGGAAAGAAUAACGGUUUUGUGGGGUUGCCAUUGAAAAAAGUCCAAGAAAACGAUGACACAACUGAGAGUUGAUGCAAAGACAAAGAGGAUAAUGAUCCAAUUGAGAUUUUGACAAUGAAAACUAGACAAGGAAAAUAGGAAAACUGAGAACUUUGAGGACUCAAGUCAAUGGAAAGGCCCG
rnacentral:misc_RNA from 1 species